rnacentral:rRNA from 1 species
AUUGAACGCUGGCGGCAUGCCUUACACAUGCAAGUCGAACGGCAGCAUGGGUGCUUGCACCUGAUGGCGAGUGGCGAACGGGUGAGUAAUGCAUCGGAACGUACCCGGAAGUGGGGGAUAACGUAGCGAAAGUUACGCUAAUACCGCAUAUUCUGUGAGCAGGAAAGUGGGGGAUCGCAAGACCUCGCGCUUCCGGAGCGGCCGAUGUCGGAUUAGCUAGUUGGCGGGGUAAAGGCCCACCAAGGCAACGAUCCGUAGCGGGUCUGAGAGGAUGAUCCGCCACACUGGGACUGAGACACGGCCCAGACUCCUACGGGAGGCAGCAGUGGGGAAUUUUGGACAAUGGGGGCAACCCUGAUCCAGCCAUGCCGCGUGAGUGAAGAAGGCCUUCGGGUUGUAAAGCUCUUUCGGCCGGGAAGAAAUCGCACAGGUUAAUACCUUGUGUGGAUGACGGUACCGGAAUAAGAAGCACCGGCUAACUACGUGCCAGCCGCCGCCGUAAGAC